rnacentral:lncRNA from 1 species
UACCUGGAAAUCAGUUUACAAUGGAAGAAGAAGAAAGACCAGCAGUAGCAGUAACAAAUGUAACAGUAGAUCAACUGUCACCAGGAACAAAUAGAGCCAAAUUCAAGGCUAAACCACACUCCAAAUGCCCAUGAAGAAGUAAAUACAACAAGAACACCUUAAGUUUACUUUGAAAUUAAACUAGGAAGUCAUAGAGCAUAUUCAACAGUCAGAAUCACCCAGCAUCAGCUCAAUUGAACCUCAAAUGACUCGAUUCAAACCCAAAACUCACACGAAAUAGAACCAGUAUACUUUCAUAAAUGCUCCAGCAACUUAGAAAAGAGAAGAACUCAAAGUUAAUAUAUAAGAGCAAUGAAACGGUAGUCUUCUCUAAAAAAAGUGACCAAAAACUCUCUGUGCUUUUUCAAGUUCCCAAAACUCCAUUUUCAAACUCAAUCAAAACUGAAUGUCUUCAAUGCUUUAUAUCUCUCUGUGUUCUUCUAAACUCUCUUAACUCUCAAUGUGUAUGUCGUUUUCUGUCUUCUCUCAAAAGAAAAUGUCCCCCUUUUAUUCCACUCUCUAAGUUUUCAAUCAUCUUUUC